CUUGCUCCCGGAUGUUAGCGGCGGACGGGUGAGUAACACGUGGGUAACCUGCCUGUAAGACUGGGAUAACUCCGGGAAACCGGAGCUAAUACCGGAUAGUUCCUUGAACCGCAUGGUUCAAGGAUGAAAGACGGUUUCGGCUGUCACUUACAGAUGGACCCGCGGCGCAUUAUCUAGUUGGUGGGGUAAUGGCUCACCAAGGCGACGAUGCGUAGCCGACCUGAGAGGGUGAUCGGCCACACUGGGACUGAGACACGGCCCACACUCCUACGGGAGGCAGCAGUAGGGAAUCUUCCGCAAUGGACGAAAGUCUGACGGAGCAACGCCGCGUGAGUGAUGAAGGUUUUCGGAUCGUAAAGCUCUGUUGUUAGGGAAGAACAAGUGCGAGAGUAACUGCUCGCACCUUGACGGUACCUAACCAGAAAGCCACGGCUAACUACGUGCCAGCAGCC
rnacentral:rRNA from 1 species